CGGAAGCGGAGGCCGGCGCCUCCUCGGCGGCGGAUUCGAGGGUGUGUUUUGUCAGUAGCGGUUUCUGUGGCGCUGCAGGUGGCCCGCCAUGCCGUCGGAGGGUCGCUGCUGGGAAACUCUAAGGGCGCUGCGCAAUUCCAGCAAAGGCCGCCUGCCCUACCCACCCGCGAGUGGCUGGUGCACUACGAGGAUGUUUUGGAAGAAUGCACAACUCUUCCAAAACUAUCUUCUUACUCUGGAUGGGUGGUAGAUCACAUCCUACCCAACACCUCACCCCACACACAAGAGAACUCUCCUUCCUCUGAAUGUUCACCAUCCUCUGGAUCUACUUCAGGCCUGGACCAACCCUUACUCCUUAAGUCUCCUGUCAGAAGCACUCCAGAAUCCUCCUCACCUUCAUCAAAUGGAACCAAGAUCACACAGGAGUGCCAGCGCACAGAACCUGUUGCGCCUUCUGUCCUC